rnacentral:rRNA from 1 species
UACGGAGGGUGCAAGCGUUAUCCGGAUUCACUGGGUUUAAAGGGUGCGUAGGUGGUCUUGUAAGUCAGCGGUGAAAGCCUACAGCUUAACUGUAGAAUUGCCAUUGAUACUGCUUGACUUGAAUCAUGUCGAGGUGGAUGGAAUAUAUCAUGUAGCGGUGAAAUGCUUAGAUAUGAUAUAGAACACCAAUUGCGAAGGCAGUUCACUAGACAUGUAUUGACACUGAGGCACGAAAGCGUGGGGAUCAAACAGG